GAAAAAGAAUGCCUAUUAGUGUUCAAGAUAAUAGUACUUCUCAGGCUUUCAAUUUGGGAGUGCACAGAUAACUAGAAUACUGAAGUUAGAUGAUUUCCACCUGGCUUUCUUUCUUUCUGGCUUCCAUUUUAGUCUUCUCUACAUGGCAGCAAAGAUGAUCAGCGGUGUGUGGCUAAUGUUCUACAAGUUUUGAAGUCUUGAUGGAAAGUCACAUGCUGACUUAACUUUGAUUGACUCACAUUGGGUCACCGGCUCAUCCCUGGAGCCAGGUGGUGAGAUUACCUCCACCCAAUCCACUUGGACUGAAGAAGAAUAUCUGCACAGUACUCAUGGAAUUCAUUAUCCAGACAUGCACUAGCUUGUGGACUGAAUCAUCUCUGUGGAUUGACCUUGGGCUCAUCAUUGCUUUAACUGCAGGGCAUUUGAUGAUGCAAAUGGCCAGCUCAUCACUGAAAUACUGGAGCAUCUGUCAAUGAUUUGCCCAAGAAACCCGGACUCAUGUGCCAUGAUUUACUCUCCUAUCACAAACAACAGAAUUACUGGACUUUGAAAGCUGACAUGGGGGAAGGAGGAAAAAAAGGAAAUGCUUAUACCUUCUCAUUUUGACAUGGCUCCUUCAGAAAUCUGAUACUAAAUAUCUUCCUGCAUCUGGAGGAGUGAAGAAAGAGAACAUACAGGCAUUAUGUACAUAAUGUUGAAAUAAAACCCUCUAUUGUCCACCAAGACAAUAGAACUAGUCUAUAAUAAUGCAGUAGAAGUAGAGCAUAAACUACACACGCCAGCAAUGCAAUCUUUGUUCCAGUGUAAUCUUCCAUAUCAACUAUUGACAAGCCAAGAGGCAGCGGUGAGAAUACCCGGCACUUGACUUCCUGCUCCCGUGAAUCAUUGCUGGAGAGGCGUCUUUGAUCCCUUGCAGAGCACCGUGUGUGCAAAAGAUCAAGCAGGAUGUAAUUUGAAGCUGGGGAAACCAACUAAACUCUAUGGACUGAGAAAUAAACUGAUACGAUUGACCUCCAACAUAGGAAUUCAGAAAUCUCCCUGCCUCUUUCUUUGCCACUAAGAAAACAGACAUUGGUUCCCCAAGCCCCUGAUUAAGAAAAAGCUGGAAGAACAUUCAGAAGACUUUUCAAGACCGUGAAUGCCCUUGCCAAAGCCCAGUGGGAAAGUCUCUGGAGAAACAGAGUGACAUUGCCAGUGGAACAGUGAUUUCCUACAUUGCUGCAUUCUCAUCUUCCCUCGUUCAUUCAUUCAGCAAAUAAAAAUUGAAUGGCUUCUAAACACCAGGACUUUUUAGGCUAUUCUCGCUGUCCUGGAUAUGGGAAAGAGACACUUUGCUGAUGUAGUAUGCUAAUCACACACACGGGAAGAAAAUGAAAAAAAAAUCAUAGAAAUGAAUUCAUGAUCAAUGUGUUGGAGCAAUGGAGUUCUCAUUUCAAGAGAGAAGAUUCACUAUGAUCUCGAUGAAGGAAUUAUCCAGGACUGAGAACUCUGAAGUGACACCAUCUUAAACUUGUUCCAUUGCAAUGCAAACUCUUUAUUCAUGUACUUUGGCAACAAAUACACAUUUCUUGAGAACUUAGAAGAGAUAAGAAUGAAGGUAGUAAGGAUAAAGGACGGUGUCUGCGGUAAGUCUACAGCCAAAUCUGCAAUGUUAAUCCAUUUUUCUGACCCACUCUUCAGUCCCCUUACACAUAAGAAGACUGUUUUAAGGAUUAAAUAGAGUUCCAUGUAACGCAUGUGAACAAAAAUAUUGAGAA